rnacentral:rRNA from 1 species
UUGAACGCUGGCGGCAGGCCUAACACAUGCAAGUCGAGCGGAUGAAGGGAGCUUGCUCCUGGAUUCAGCGGCGGACGGGUGAGUAAUGCCUAGGAAUCUGCCUGGUAGUGGGGGAUAACGUCCGGAAACGGGCGCUAAUACCGCAUACGUCCUGAGGGAGAAAGUGGGGGAUCUUCGGACCUCACGCUAUCAGAUGAGCCUAGAUCGGAUUAGCUAGUUGGUGGGGUAAAGGCCUACCAAGGCGACGUUCCGUAACUGGUCUGAGAGGAUGAUCAGUCACACUGGAACUGAGACACGGUCCAGACUCCUACGGGAGGCAGCAGUGGGGAAUAUUGGACAAUGGGCGAAAGCCUGAUCCAGCCAUGCCGCGUGUGUGAAGAAGGUCUUCGGAUUGUAAAGCACUUUAAGUUGGGAGGAAGGGCAGUAAGUUAAUACCUUGCUGUUUUGACGUUACCAACAGAAUAAGCACCGGCUAACUUCGUG